rfam:Ovis aries breed Texel chromosome 7, whole genome shotgun sequence.
UGGCUCAGAGGUUAAAGCGUCUGCCUGGAAUGCAGGAGACCCGGGUUUGAUCCCUGG